ensembl:lncRNA
GGGGUGAAGGGUGUGUGAGGAGGGUUUGGUCCAUCUCCUGCUCUUACACACACACACACUUUCCUAUGGCACUGUGUGUGUGUGUGUGUGUGUGUGUGUGUGUGUGUGUGUGUGUGUGUGUAAGGUUUCCUCCGGUUUCCUUCACCCUCCAAACACAUGCUGGUGGAAUGGCAAGACUAAACUGCCCCAGCUGUGGAAGUGUGUCCUGUCCGGGGUGGACACACAGGUGUAGAGAGAGAGAGAGAGAGAGAGAGAAGAGAGAGAGAGAGAGAGAGAGAGAGAGACAGUGCAGUAUGCUGUGUAGGAGAGACAGUGCAGUAUGUUGUAGAGACAGUGCAGUAUGUUGUAGAGAGAGAGAGAGAGAGAGAGAGAGACAGUGCAGUAUGUUGUGUAGAGAGAGAGAGAGAGAGAGAGAGAGAGACAGUGCAGUAUGUUGUGUAGAGAGAGAGAGAGAGAGAGAGAGAGAGGACAGUGCAGUAUGUUGUGUAGAGAGAGAGAGAGAGAGAGAGAGAGAGAGAGACAGUACAGUAUGUUGUGUAGAGAGAGAGAGAGAGAGAGAGAGAGAGGAGAGAGAGAGAGAGAGAGAGAGAGUACAUUUCCUGUACACUUAUAUAACUCUCACUCUCGCACCAUCUGCUCCACCUGUCCAUUACACACUGGUGUAACUUGUCAUCCAUCCUGACUGCUUCA